GGUAUUCGAAGGUCCAAUCAAGUACCUCAAAGUCCUUGCCCCCUGAACCUCAAGCCCGUGAAAGCUAUGCUCGUCUCCACCCUAGGACAACUCUCGUCUUAGCCCUAGGACCCAGACCCGAUCCUAGACUCCCGGAGUCAACACCCUGACUCCUCUUGUGAGCUCCCAAGGCUUGGAAGCACCAUAAAUUCCUACACUAUCAACCUUAAUAGAUGAGGAGA
rnacentral:lncRNA from 1 species